AUGCCCACACCUGUGGCUUCUGAAGCAGAGCACCAGCAGUGACAGUCCCACCAGAACCGCAUGGAAUAGAAAACUGUGCAUUUCCCUAAGGAAAGGGAAUGCCAGAGAAGGGCAGAAGGGAAAUCAGGAAGACAAAACGUUAUAGAAACAGAUGAUCAGUGGCCCACGGAUUCCAGGUGAGGAUCUGGGACCCAGACAUCCAGAUAUUGAAAACACAGGGAUGGAGUCUGUAUGGAAAAAAUUAAAAUAUAGCAAAAUGUGAAAUACGGAAGAGAAAUCUUUCAAUUUCCCAAUGGAAGUGAGAAAAGAGCAAAGAAAAGUAUUGGUCUUCCAAAACAAAUAGAGGACGGAGCUGCUGCUGUUGCAUGGUGUCUAGAAACUCAGACAACUUCAUCAUUCCAUAUUUGCAUCCAAGAGAGAGAAAGAAAAACUACAAUCAUUUUCCAUUUACCCAUCAACCCAUCAACCUCCAAAUAAAGGCUAUUAAAAAACAAUCAAAGUGUGAAGAGGGCAGAAAAUGUGAUGAAGAGAUUCUUUGGAGAAAGUAGCUGCCACUGUUACCUUGGGAUCUGCCUAUAGUCCUCACAGAGCUUGCCCUUGCAGGAUAGAACAUAGGAGUCUGGGAGUCUGCAAGAAGAGACAGGGUCUCACUAUGUUGCCCCAGUUGGCCUUGAACUGCUGGACUCAAGGGAUCCUCCUGCCUCAGCAUCCUGAGUAGCUGGGUCUACAGGCAUGAACCACCAGGCCCAGAACCCUGUCUUUUGAAAGCCAUAUGCGAUCUGUCUGCCCUGAAGUGACUACUUCAUCUCCAACCAGCCCUUGGCUGGCAAAGUCAGGAAGACUCCAGUCUUUCCUGAAGACCAGGGGAGAGUUUAUAACUCUAGCAUCAAAGUCAGCAGCUGUUCAUCUAGAAGACAACUUCCCAAAAGUCAAUGUCUUUGCCUGAAGCUUUUCUUCCCAGAUCUCCUAUGGUGAAACAACCAAAGGGAAGAAGAAUGUGGGCAGCCCUCAGUAAGACAGGAGAUGAGCAUCAACAUUGACCCAUUCUUUCUUCCAGUCCUCGAUGCUUACCUUGUACAUUCUUCUUUGUCUUCCGACUCAGUGCCUUUAGGGUAUGGACGUUGCCUGGUCCCACACAAGCCAAGCAUCAAAUGGAUGGCUCAACAAGGAGGCCAAGACCAGCUAAUGUUUAGUGAGCACCCAAAGGGGCCACACUGGAGAGAACAGCACAGCUCCGUCUGAGAAACAGCUGUUCCUUCCUGCCUGAGAGGCAGAGUGAUAGAAGAUAUCACAGAAUGUUGCUGCUUUGUCUUCCACCCUGAACCCUCCACGACCUCCCUGUAGCUUCCUGAUUUUAAGUAGACAUCAAAUGAUUCUUAAUCCUUUCUGGGUCUUGGAACGAUUUGAAAAUUGUCAACAGUACUGGGAUUCCCAGAAUAAUGCACAUAUGUACAUACUCAGAUAUUCCCCAAGCCCUGGAUAUAAUUUUAAGGGAGUUCACAGACCACACUCCCCCACCCAUCUGUGGACCCAGAUUCUGUGGGUUCGAGAUUCAGAAGCCCUGUUUCUAGGCAGGCCCUCUGUUGCUAACGCCCCUCGAGAACAUCACCCUAGAUGAUUAUCCCUUCUUCCUCCACUCCUUCCCACCUUCUCCAACUGCUGGGUUUCAGCACAAAGAUUGCUUGCCAGUUAAACUGGCACCAUGGACCGCACAGUAGUUGUUUCUUGGGUCUAGAGGAAACAGCCAGAUUCCUUUAAGUAAAUCAUGUCUUAGUU
rnacentral:lncRNA from 1 species